rnacentral:lncRNA from 1 species
CGCCCACGCACGUGUAACCAGUUGCAGCCCGUAGAACAAGAGAAGCAAUGAUACCUCUUCUGGGCAAAGACACGGGGAAGCUCCGGAGAGAUUCCACAGCAGACUCGGAUACCAUUGAUCAGGUGGUAGAUCUGAACUGAUGAAUCACACACAGCAUGGCAGUCACUCAAAACCCACCCAUGAGAAAGAAAGAAACUGUCUUUGUAUUGAUCUACCUACAUUUCAGGUCCCAGACGUUUGCCGAGACCUUACAGAGCAGAAAGGCCCUGAGUCCUGGGCUGAGACCAUCUAAAGGUGAACAGGGCCCUGACUGGGCUGGCCACAGUUAUAUAAUGUCAUGGGGGAAGGGGAGACUGUGCCUUCACAGGUGAGAAGAGUGUGACUGGCACUCUGACUUAGACCCCAAACAACAAUGGCACAGUAGGGAAGCUCACAGACUGAUGCUGGCAAGUCUCCCUUUGUCUCCUUCAUCUUCCUCCAUGGGAGCAGAGCCCUUAGUUUUCACCUUUCUUCUCUUACCUCUAGACCUCAGAGGACACUCUCCCUAUCUUAUUAUUAUGACUUUAAUGUGGUAGGUAUGCUGUAGCUUAGAAAAGUCCAACAUAAUAAAUACCGAUCUUAUCAUACACAC